rnacentral:misc_RNA from 1 species
GAAAUGCGAUAAGUAAUGUGAAUUGCAGAAUUCAGUGAACCAUCGAAUCUUUGAACGCACAUUGCGCCCGGCAGUAAUCUGCCGGGCAUGCCUGUCCGAGCGUCAUUUCUCCCCUCGAGCGCAGCUUUCCCCCCCGGGGGAGGGCCGCGCCCGGUGUUGGGGCGCUACGGAGGAGCCCCGCGCUCCGCCGUAGGCCCCGAAAUGUAGUGGCGGUCCCGCCGCGGCGCCCCCUGCGUAGUACUUAACAGCUCGCAUCGGGUCCCGGCGGAGGCCAGCCGUCAAACCCCCCAACUUCAAUAGUUUGACCUCGGAUCAGGUAGGGUUACCCGCUGAACUUAA